AGUGAACGCUGGCGGUAGGCCUAACACAUGCAAGUCGAACGGCAGCACAGUAAGAGCUUGCUCUUACGGGUGGCGAGUGGCGGACGGGUGAGGAAUACAUCGGAAUCUACUUUUUCGGGGGGGAUAACGUAGGGAAACUUACGCUAAUACCGCAUACUACCUACGGGUGAAAGCAGGGGAUCUUCGGACCUUGCGCGAUUGAAUGAGCCGAUGUCGGAUUAGCUAGUUGGCGGGGUAAAGGCCCACCAAGGCGACGAUCCGUAGCUGGUCUGAGAGGAUGAUCAGCCACACUGGAACUGAGACACGGUCCAGACUCCUACGGGAGGCAGCAGUGGGGAAUAUUGGACAAUGGGCGCAAGCCUGAUCCAGCCAUACCGCGUGGGUGAAGAAGGCCUUCGGGUUGUAAAGCCCUUUUGUUGAGAAAGAAAAGCAGCAGGUUAAUACCCCGCUGUUCUGACGGUACCCAAAGAAUAAGCACCGGCUAACUUCGUG
rnacentral:rRNA from 1 species